CAAUAGCGUAUAUUAAAGUUGUUGCAGUUAAAAAGCUCGUAGUUGGAUUUCGGGUGGGAAUGGCCGGUCCGCCGUUUCGGUGUGCACUUGCUACGCCCACCUUGCUGCCGGGGACGUGCUCUUGAGUUCACGCUCGGGACACGGAGUCGGCGAGGUUACUUUGAGUAAAUUAGAGUGUUCAAAGCAGGCCUACGCUCUGAAUACAUUAGCAUGGAAUAACACGAUAGGACUCUGGCCUAUCUUGUUGGUCUGUAGGACCGGAGUAAUGAUUAAGAGGGACAGUCGGGGGCAUUCGUAUUUCAUUGUCAGAGGUGAAAUUCUUGGAUCUAUGAAAGACGAACUACUGCGAAAGCAUUUGCCAAGGAUGUUUUCAUUAA
rnacentral:rRNA from 1 species